UACGUAGGGUGCAAGCGUUGAUCGGAAUUACUGGGCGUAAAGCGUGCGCAGGCGGCUUUGUAAGACAGAUGUGAAAUCCCCGGGCUCAACCUGGGAACUGCAUUUGUGACUGCAUGCCUGGAGUGCGGCAGAGGGGGAUGGAAUUCCGCGUGUAGCAGUGAAAUGCGUAGAUAUGCGGAGGAACACCGAUGGCGAAGGCAAUCCCCUGGGCCUGCACUGACGCUCAUGCACGAAAGCGUGGGGAGCAAAAGGG
rnacentral:rRNA from 1 species